GUUCACUCCCCGGAGCGACCGGGGAGACCUGCAGACCCCCCCUCCGCGCCCCCCAGGGCUAGUCCCUGCGGUCCCGGGCCGGGCCUCCGGGAGCCUGUGCGAUGCGCAGGGCGCGUGUGCAAGUGUGUGCCUGUGUGUUGGCGUGUGUGCAAGGGCCGGGCGGGGCGAGCCCGGCGGCGGGCUGACUCCUGACACCGGCUCUCAGAGGAAAAAAGCCGUUCUGGUUCCAGAAAGACCCAUCUGAACUCCGGCGCGCCCUGGCACCUGCGGAAUUGGGCUGGACUUUGAAAGCUGGAAGAAAAUUAAAAUCCGAUUUUAAAUGAGUGGUGCUUUCCGCAGAAUCUCCAUUCUGUGCCCAUCGCCAUAGCAGCACAAGAGCACAUUUUCCUUCGAUAUCGAGUUCAUUGCUUCACUCAGAAAGUCAGGAGUCGCCCUCAGAGCGAUCAGGGCCCCCCCGCUACGUCCACCAGUGACAGCAGAGGACAGCCAGUCUGCAGUGUAUCUGGGACAACGGGGGAAACACGAUUUUCUACAGACUGGGUUUGAAAUAUGUUUUCCAGGCUUUUGGAAAGGCCUCGUUUCGUCUUCGGAUGCUCUCGGGGUGACCUGAGAUUGCGGCCCCGAAGGCAUCCGCGGUGGUUCUUUCAGCCACGGAAGUCCUGGCAGUUCAAGAGGGCGGCCGCCUGGCUCUCCCUGCCCUGGUGAUGGAGCCCGGCUGGCGGCCAAGAUGCUAACUCUGGCCACUGAGACUCACGGCACGCAGACCGGCCGGGCUCUGCGUCAGCCGCUCCGCCGUCUGCCCGCAGGCUGGACGCCCACCCGGCGUGGCCCCCACGCUGUGGCUCUUUCCCAGUUGUCUUCCGGGCACAGCGGCCGGGCUGGGAUGGCAGGUCUGGGGAGGCUCGGUGGGUUCCAGGGGCAGGCGUUGCCCCGGCAAAUGCUCUCUUCUACCGAGAGUGUUUUGCUCUAGUCAAUCGGGGGUGUGAGGGUUCGCUGCUCGCCCCGCCCCCGAAAGCCAGCCGUGGACAGAGAGGACGGUCCUGCAGCCCCACCGAGGGCACGGCCGCUCACCCGGGCUCUCCUUUCUCUGCACACACUGCGCAGCCGCCCCUCUGAACCCUUUGUUCCUCUGACUGCUGUUCCGAAUUUACACUAUUUGAUUUUAGCUUGACGAGAAAAAUGAUCCCUGCUUAAGAACGGUUCACAAUGGCCUGCCCCGGAGCCGGCAGCAAGGGGGUGUUUCGUGACGGUUGGACCAGGCAGAGGGCCGGGGGCAGCCGCUCGGGGUCCCUGCUGCCCCGGGGCCAGCCGCUCGGGGUCCCUGCUGCCCCGGGGCCAGCACGAUAGCUGAGAACUCUCCUGGAAGGGAGUCCCGCUCGACUGUGCUUUUAAUAUCCAUCUUUACCCGGUUAUGCUUUUAAUAUACGGAGACGAGCACUGGGGUCGGGUACCGACGGCUUCCUGGGCUUCAUCCACGGCUGCAGGCUGUCCAGCUGCCACAAGGCCAGCAGGUGUUAUCAUCACGCAGUCCCUCCCCAGAUGAGGUCUUCCGUGAGGCACUUAGCAACAUUACCAAUUGCAGAACCAGGGGAGGAAGAGACCCCUUACCCAGCCCUUCCGGCACGUCACUCCGUCCCAACCCCUAGUCCUACCGUUUAAGAAGACGUCAGUCUUUCCAGUGUGGACAGGGGUGUUGGCUGUGAUGGGGGGUUCUUGUAUACUCAUUCUUCAGCUUUCUUUGAGCCCGGGAAUCUGCUCCAUAAACGGAACCAGCAGUUCCUAAGAGAGCCAAGGGCAAGGUGACCCAGCCUAGGAGACAUGAAUAUGCAUGGGGUCUGGAGUCAGACAAACUGAGUCUGAAUCCUGCCACUUACUAGCUGUGACAUAAGCAACCUGUUUAAUCCUUCCAAGCUUCCAUUUCCUUAUCUGUGCAAUAAGGUUAAACAUAACGGGUCUCUGUAACGAUUAGACCAGAUAUUGGAUCUCACUCAAGUUCACAAAAUGGCAGACACACUCAGCAGGUGUUAACUUUACCUGUCGCCCCAUCUGAUCGUUCUCGUAUCAAGUCUCCGCUUCGGGCUCUCACUCAGGGUGCUGAGCACCUGCUAAGUGCUGGCGGCCAUGCGCAGAGCAACUCCUCCCUGGAGGAGCUCACAGAUCACAAGGAUGUAAAGACAAACAGAUGUGGCUACUGAGGCUUGGACAGAUUUAGCAGUUUGGCCAAGAUCGUGUUGUGCAAAUGAAGCGCUGAAACCAGAACGCAGCUUCCGGCUCCACGUGCAGCGCUGUGCUGGGUCCUCGAGAUUGGUUUCCCAGGACCCCAAGGGUUUGAAAACAGUGACUUUGGGACCAGCUGCUUCUGUCUCCUGGAGACAAGGGCACAGGGCCAGGUGAGGCCUCCGUCAGGACUGGCCAGUGGGCCGGCACCACCGUGUGCACUCAGAGCUCCUCUGCCAGCCCCCCGGGCCCCGGGGUCCUGCACCCGCGCGGCCCACAAACAGCCAGUGUCCUUGAUUGUAGUGAAAACGAUGUCAGCUCGGUGCGGUGAGGCGGGUUAUCUCGGGCUGCCCAGAGGUCUCGUGGAAGCUGGGAGAAGUCGUUUCUACUUAAGUAACGCAGUCUCUUGUGAGAUCAACUAUUUCAACAAUGGAGAGUGCCUGGGAGAUAUUUUUAACGGGAGUCAGCGGUGAGAGGAUGGAGAACAACUGUUUCUUUAUUCCUCUCCAUCCGCUGUGGUUCCCCGAGUCCCGCCCCAGCGGCGCCUUCCCGGCCCCUUCUCAGCUCUUCUCACUUUACUGCUGUAACCGCAUGUCAGCACCUACCGUACCUGCCUGGAGUUGUCAACUGAGCAGGACCCGGGCUUUUUCUAGCCCGUGGACACGCCUCCGGAGGCGCGGGCCUUUCUUCCUCGACGGUGGCUGUUGUCUUUCCCUGUCCCGACAGCCCUGCGUGCCUGGUGCCUCUGACUCCAGAGAAGCUCCUUAAACACAAGCACGGGUUCCAGCUGAGGAGGAGUAGGCGGGGCCAAGGCAGCCUGAUCGGAAUCACCUGGGUGGUUCUUUAUGCCAACACCCAGCCCGCGGGCACUCGCCCGGGAGGGAGGGGCUUGAGGGCAAACGCGGUGGUGCCCCUCUGCUCGGGAGGUUAGGACCCCAGAAACACCAGGGGCACGGGGGGAGGGGGUGGUAGCCCAGAGCGGGCGCUUCUCCUGUGCAUGUCUUUGUAGCUCCUCGUUCAGUCUUCAGUCUUCUUUCUUUUAAUUUAAUUAAUUAAUAUAUUUAUAUUGGAGGAUAGCUGGUCUACAGCGUCGUGUCCGUUUCAGGUGUACAGCAAAGUGACUCAGUUAUACAUAUACAUGUGUCCAUUCUUCUUCAGAUGCUUUUCCCCUAUAGGUGGCCGUCAGUGUUGAGGUUUGAAUUGGCCUCGGUGGGAGCAUUUCCACCCCUGAAACCAGCAAACAGCACGAAUCCCAGGUGACCCCCCCCCGCGUCCCACCCCCCAACAAAGUGGCAGAGGUUUCCCAGCCCAGCCCUGCUAAGGACUCUCUGCUUCCAGGGCAGGCACAUCCUCAAGGAGUUAUUGGGCCGCCUUGGAAACGAGAGUUUGCUUUUGUUUUUUUUUUAACCCUGGACACCUGACGAGAACUCCGUCCAAAUUUAAGCAGGAAAUCUUGGUCUCCACGGCCUGACACUGACCAUUUCUCCACGCCUGCCCUCCCUAUUCACUCAGCGCAGAAGCUCAUAAAACCUUCAUAAAACGACAGUCUGUGCUAAAAGGUAGUGUUUAUUUAGCACUCAACACGGACCAGGCCCCGUGGCAGAGGACUUCAUGGCCACUAAUUGUUUUAUCCUCUCCAGAACCCUAUGAGGCCGAUAUUAGGAGUUGAAUUGUGUCUCCAAAGGACAUGCUGCAGUCCUAACCACCAGUACCUAAGAACGUGAACUUGUUUAGAAAUAGGGUCAUUGCAGAUAAGAUUAUUCAGACGAGGUCAUCCUGGAGGGGGUGGACUCAGUCCAAUAUGAUUGGUGUCCUUGUAAUAUUUAUUUAUUUAUUUUGGCUGUGUUGGGUCUUAGCUGUGGCACACAGGAUCUUCCUUUGCAGUGCCCAGACUUCUCUCUGUAGUUGGCGGCACGUGGGCUCCCUCGUUGAGGUGUAUGAGCUCAGUAGUUGUGGCACGUGGGCUCUCUAGUUGUGUUGCGCGGGCUUAGUUGCCCCGCUGCACGUGGGAUCUUAGUUCCCUGCCCAGGGAUCGCACCGGCGUCCCCUGCAUUGCAAGAUGGAUUCUUUCCCACUGGACCACCAGGGAAGUCCGUGGUGUCCUUUUAAAAAGAGGGAAAUGUGGACACAGACGCACAGGGAGAAGGCCAUGUGACGAUGAAGGGAGAGAUUGCAUUGGCGCGUCUACAAGCCAGGGAAGCCAAGGAUGGCUGGCCACACCAGAAGCCAGGAGAGGGGCCUGGCACAGAGUCUCCUUCUAAGCCUCAGAAGGAACCAACCCUGCUGGCACCUUUAGCGUGAGCUUCUGGCCUCCAGAGCUGAAAGAAUAAACGUCUGUUGUUCUCAGCAGCCCAGUUCGUGGUGCUUUGUUGCAGCAGCCCUGGGAACUGAGUACACUGAGCCUUAGGGAAGUUAGGAGACUGGAAAGCCAUCCAAAGGUGCUGGGAAAUGUCCAUCGACAGAGGAACGGAUAAAGAAGUUGUG